UAGAGACUCAUCAAAUGGUUGC
rnacentral:siRNA from 1 species